rnacentral:rRNA from 1 species
CCUACGGGUGGCAGCAGUGAGGAAUAUUGGUCACUGGGCGCGAGCCUGAACCAGCCAAGUCGCGUGAGGGAAGACGGUCCUAUGGAUUGUAAACCGCUUUUGUCGGGGAGCCAAAGACGCCACGCGUGGCGUUCCGAGAGGACCCGAAGAAAAAGCAUCGGCUAACUCCGUGCCAGCAGCCGCGGUAAUACGGGGGAGGCGAGCGUUAUCCGGUUUGAAUGGGGGUAAGGGGUGGGCAGGCGGAAGAUCAAGUCAGCGGUAAAAUUGAGAGGCUCAACCUCUUCACGCCGUUGAGACUGGUUUUCUUGAGUGAGUGAGAAGUAUGCGGAAUGCGUGGUGUAGCGGUGAAAUGCAUAGAUAUCACGCAGAACUCCGAUUGCGAAGGCAGCAUACCGGCGCUCAACUGACGCUCAUGCACGAAAGUGUGGGUAUCGAACAGGAUUAGAUACCCGGGUAGUC